rnacentral:tRNA from 1 species
GAGGGCAUAGCUCAGUAGUAAAGCACAUGCUUAGCAUGCACAAGGUCCUGGGUUCAAUCCCCAGUACCUCA